GACGAACGCUGGCGGCGUGCUUAACACAUGUAAGUCGAACGGAAAGGCCCUGCUUUUGUGGGGUGCUCGAGUGGCGAACGGGUGAGUAACACGUGAGUAACCUGCCCUUGACUUUGGGAUAACUUCAGGAAACUGGGGCUAAUACCGGAUAGGAGCUCCUGCUGCAUGGUGGGGGUUGGAAAGUUUCGGCGGUUGGGGAUGGACUCGCGGCUUAUCAGCUUGUUGGUGGGGUAGUGGCUUACCAAGGCUUUGACGGGUAGCCGGCCUGAGAGGGUGACCGGCCACAUAGGGACUGAGAUACGGCCCAGACUCCUACGGGAGGCAGCAGUGGGGAAUAUUGCACAAUGGGCGGAAGCCUGAUGCAGCAACGCCGCGUGCGGGAGGACGGCCUUCGGGUUGUAAACCGCUUUCGCCUGUGACGAAGCGUGAGUGACGGUAAUGGGAAAAGAAGCACCGGCUAACUACGUG
rnacentral:rRNA from 1 species